AUUAUUUUGUUGUUCAUAAGUGUAAUGACUGGAUUUUCAUGCACAUGUAUGAGAUAUGCCUCCCUCAAGCUUUGUUACUACAAAGUCAGUGCAUUACCCAUCUGAUG
ensembl:snoRNA